GAUGAACGCUGGCGGCGUGCCUAAUACAUGCAAGUCGAGCGAACGGACGAGCAGCUUGCUUUUCUGAUGUUAGCGGCGGACGGGUGAGUAACACGUGGAUAACCUACCUAUAAGACUGGGAUAACUUCGGGAAACCGGAGCUAAUACCGGAUAAUAUUUUGAACCGCAUGGUUCAAAAGUGAAAGACGGUCUUGCUGUCACUUAUAGAUGGUUCCGCGCUGCAGUGGCUAGUUGGUAAGGUAACGGCUUACCAAGGCAACGAUGCAUAGCCGACCUGAGAGGGUGAUCGGCCACACUGGAGCUGAGACACGGUCCAGACUCCUACGGGAGGCAGCAGUAGGGAAUCUUCCGCAAUGGGCGAAAGCCUGACGGAGCAACGCCGCGUGAGUGAUGAAGGUCUUCGGAUCGUAAAACUCUGUUAUGAGGGAAGAACAUAUGUGUAAGUAACUGUGCACAUCUUGACGGUACCUAAUCAGAAAGCCACGGCUAACUACGUG
rnacentral:rRNA from 1 species